rnacentral:rRNA from 1 species
UACGGAGGAUGCAAGCGUUAUCCGGAUUCAUUGGGUUUAAAGGGUGCGUAGGCGGACUAUUAGGUCAGUGGUGAAAGCCUGCAGCUUAACUGCAGAACUGCCAUUGAUACUGAUAGUCUUGAGUUUGGUUAAGGUAGGCGGAAUGUGUAAUGUAGCGGUGAAAUGCUUAGAUAUUACACAGAACACCAAUUGCGUAGGCAGCUUACUGAGCCGACACUGACGCUGAGGCACGAAAGCGUGGGGAUCGAA